UCAUUAGAGNAAAGUAAAAGUCGUAACAGGGUUUCCGUAGGUGAACCUGCGGAGGGAUCAUUA
rnacentral:rRNA from 1 species